rnacentral:rRNA from 1 species
GUCAUAUGCUGUCUCAAAGAUAAGCCAUGCAUGUCUCAGUACAAGCCAAAUUAAGGUGAAACCGCGAAAGGCUCAUUAAAUCAGUUAUGGUUCUUUAGAUCGUACCCACAAAUUACUUGGAUAACUGUGGUAAUUCUAGAGCUAAUACAUGCAAACAGAGCUCCGACCGGAGACGGAAGGAGUGCUUUUAUUAGAACAAAACCAAUCGGUGGCGGGUUCGCGCUCGUCAUCGUACAAUUUGGCGACUCUGAAUAACUUUACGCUGAUCGCACGGUCAUCGCACCGGCGACGCGUCUUUCAAAUGUCUGCCUUAUCAACUGUCGAUGGUAGGUUCUGCGCCUACCAUGGUCGUAACGGGUAACGGGGAAUCAGGGUUCGAUUCCGGAGAGGGAGCCUGAGAAACGGCUACCACAUCCAAGGAAGGCAGCAGGCGCGCAAAUUACCCACUCCCGGCACGGGGAGGUAGUGACGAAAAAUAACGAUACGGGACUCAUCCGAGGCCCCGUAAUCGGAAUGAGUACACUCUAAACCCUUUAACGAGGAUCAAUUGGAGGGCAAGUCUGGUGCCAGCAGCCGCGGUAAUUCCAGCUCCAAUAGCGUAUAUUAAAGUUGUUGCGGUUAAAAAGCUCGUAGUCGAAUUUGUGUCUCGCGCCGCCGGUUCAUCGUCCGCGGUGUUAACUGGCGAGUCGCGAGACGUCCUGCCGGUGGGCUUAGCUCGCGAGGGCGCGGCCCAACUCAAUCCUGCCGCGGUGCUCUUCAUUGAGUGUCGAGGUGGGCCGGCACGUUUACUUUGAACAAAUUAGAGUGCUUAAAGCAGGCUAAAACUUCGCCUGAAUACUGUGUGCAUGGAAUAAUGGAAUAGGACCUCGGUUCUAUUUUGUUGGUUUUCGGAACCCCGAGGUAAUGAUUAAUAGGAACGGAUGGGGGCAUUCGUAUUGCGACGUUAGAGGUGAAAUUCUUGGAUCGUCGC